CAUUGAAGCUCGUCUGGAGGGUAUAACACAGGCCCAGCUAGCUAGCUAACACAGACCCUUAUAGAACCCUCAUUAACAUACCCUACAACACAGGCCCCAGUUAGCUAGCUAACACAGACCCUUAUAGAACACUCAUUAACAUACCCUACAACACAGGCUCAGCUAGCUAGCUAACAUUGGAAUCUAGUUCUCUAACUCAGGCCCAGUUAACCAUCUUUACAUUUUAAAUGUAAUCUUUAUUUAACUAGGCAAGUCAGUUAAUUAAGAACAAAUUCUUAUUUACAAUGACGGCCUAGGCUACCACUAGGCUACCUGCUGCCCCAAGGACUAAGGACCAGCUAGAUACUGUACAAUAUCUAACACAGGCCCAGUUAACUAUCUCACAGAGAUCCAACUAGCAAGCUAGCUUACCGAGAUGACCGCACAACAUACAAAACUGUCAUUACCGUACUCUAGCACGACCACCUGAGUGUAUAUUAGCAUGUUCUUUGUUUAAAGUGUACAGCUGAAUGCUACUCUAGUGCUUUCUGGUUGUUAUUCAUUUGUUUAAGGUUUACAGCUGAAUGCUACUCUAGUGCUUUCUGGUUGUUAUUCAUUUGUUUAAGGUUUACAGCUGAAUGCUACUCUAGUGCUUUCUGGUUGUUAUUCAUUUGUUUAAGGUGUAUUCUUAGGAUGGAUGACGUCAUCACAUGCCAAGGUUAUCCAUUUUCUGUGGCUAAUAGCAGACAAAUAGUGAUUAAUGUUGAAUGGAGGGGGUUGAAUGGAGGGGGUUGAAUGGAGGGCUGCUAGAGGAUACAAAUGGAGGUUCCAAUCCGCCCCAGAAAGAUUCAGCCUUGACUCCAAAUGGCACCCUAUUAAAUAUAUAGUACACUACAUUUGACUAAGCCCUUGUGAAAAGUAGUGCACUAAAUAUGAAAUAGGGGUGCCUUUAUUAAAGGUACCAAUGACUCACCCACCCAGACCCUACAUAGCUGCUGAAUCAGGUUCAGUCUAUUUUGUCUUUUGUCUGUGCAUUUCAUUGAAAUUCUCAGAUAUCUGUCAGAGACGGGUGUGUGUGUGACGGAUC